rnacentral:rRNA from 1 species
GAUGAACGCUGGCGGCGUGCCUAAUACAUGCAAGUCGAGCGAACGGACGAGAAGCUUGCUUCUCUGAUGUUAGCGGCGGACGGGUGAGUAACACGUGGAUAACCUACCUAUAAGACUGGGAUAACUACGGGAAACCGGAGCUAAUACCGGCUAAUAUUUUGAACCGCAUGGUUCAAAAGUGAAAGACGGUCUUGCUGUCACUGAUAGAUGGAUCCGCGCUGCAUUAGCUAGUUGGUAAGGUAACGGCUUACCAAGGCGACGAUGCGUAGCCGACCUGAGAGGGUGAUCGGCCACACUGGAACUGAGACACGGUCCAGACUCCUACGGGAGGCAGCAGUAGGGAAUCUUCCGCAAUGGGCGAAAGCCUGACGGAGCAACGCCGCGUGCGGGAUGAAGGUCUUCGGAUCGUAAAACUCUUUUAUAAGGGAAGAACAGAUGUGUAAGUAACUGUGCACAUCUUGACGGUACCGAAUCAGAAAGCCACGGCUAACUACGUG